UAGGGAAUAUUAGUAAUGGGCGAAAGCCUGAACUAGCAACGCCGCGUGUGCGAAGAAGGCCUUCGGGUUGUAAAGCAUUUUUUGAGAGGAUGAGGAAGGACGGUACUCUCAGAAUAAGUCUCGGCUAACUACGUGCCAGCAGCCGCGGUAACACGUAGGAGGCGAACGUUAUCCGGAUUUACUGGGCGUAAAGCGCGUGUAGGUGGUUUGGUAAGUAGGGCGUGAAAGCUCCUGGCUCAACUGGGAGAGGCCGUUCUAAACUGCCGAACUAGAGGAUGGUAGAGGGAGGUGGAAUUCCGGGUGUAGCGGUGGAAUGCGCAGAUAUGCGGAGGAACACCAGUGGCGAAAGCGGCCUCCUGGACCACUCCUGACACUCAGACGCGAAAGCUAGGGUAGCAAACGG
rnacentral:rRNA from 1 species